ACAGCAGUAGCCGCGGUAAUACGAAGGGUGCAAGCGUUGUUCGGAAUUACUGGGCGUAAAGCGCGCGUAGGCGGUUACUCAAGUCAGAGGUGAAAGCCCGGGGCUCAACCCCGGAACUGCCUUUGAAACUAGGUGACUAGAAUCUUGGAGAGGUCAGUGGAAUUCCGAGUGUAGAGGUGAAAUUCGUAGAUAUUCGGAAGGACACCAGUGGCGAAGGCGGCUCACUGGCCCGGUACUGACGCUGAGGUGCGAAAGCGUGGGGAGCAAACAGGAUUAGAUACCCCUGUAGUCCCUGUCUCUUAUAC
rnacentral:rRNA from 1 species